AGCUUCCUCAUCGACUGGAGGAGAUUCCUUCCGGUUGAUGAAGCCCUCGCUGCGAACCCCCCAACCUAGCCUCCUCAUCGAUUGGAAGGGAUUCCUUCCAGUUGAUGAGGAGGCU
rnacentral:miRNA from 1 species